rnacentral:lncRNA from 1 species
GAUUUGGAUUCCUUCUUCAAAUCUCUGAAAUCUUUCUAAAGAUUGAAGAUGGACUUUUGGAGGAGAUGAAGAGGUGGAAGAAAGAUGAAGAAGAAACUAUUUUCUCUCUUAUAUUUCUCUCUUCCCAAAACCUAAGGAGGAAACCCUAGAAAUCAGCUUUUGCCUAACCCAAAAAGAGAGGACUCUCCUCUCUUUUUCUCACAUCAAGAACCACACCCCA